CCAGAAUUUUAAAAGGAAAAUAUUUUCCUUAUUUAGAUUUUUUGCAUGCUAAUUCAGGGAAUCAUCCAUCUUGGGGAUGGCAAAGCAUCUUGUGGGGAAGGCAAAUACUGUUGAAGGGUAUUCAAUGGCAUGUAGGCAAGAGGGAUUCUAUCUUAUGCAAAGAGGAUAAAUGGAUUCCUUUAUCUUUUCCAGAUGCCCCAGGAGUUAAACAAGACCAUAAUCCAAACAUUGUUUGGGUCUCUCAACUUAUAAAUCAGUCUAUAAAUGACUGGAACAGGCAGAUCCUUAAGGAGAAUUUCACAGAAGAGGAAGUAAAAUAUAUUCUCUCUAUUCCUUUGAGCUUAUUUGAGCAAGAAGAUAAAUACAUCUGGCACUUUGAUAGAUAUGGUUUAUAUUCGAUGAAAUAUGGUUAUUAUGUAGCCCGUGAUAUUCAAAGGAUAAUGUCUUCUUCCCAUCAUUUAAAUGCAGGUUCUAGUUCUCAAGUUGCAGUUGAGGUUUUUUGGAAGAGUGUAUGGAAAAUCCAUUUGCCUCCUAAAUUAAAAAUUUUCCUCUGGUCUUUGCUGCAUGACAAAUUGCCCACUAAUGAUCUGAUUCAUGUAAGACUGCCUCACUUUGAUCCAAACUAUAGAUUCUGUGGUGAAGUGGAUAAUGUCAAACAUUUAUUGUUUUCAUGCCAUCAUGCAGCAUCAAUUUGGAUCGACUCCCCUCUCUGGCUUAGAUCUUCAUUGUUUUAAGCUCUAGAUAUUAAAGAUUGCUGGUUGGAAUUAUUAUCGCCUCUUAAGUAUCAUUGUGAUAGACAGAAUCUUAUCUAGAUUGCUGUUUUUAUUAUGUGGCACAUUUGGAAAAGUAGGAAUGCUUUUGUGUUUCAAAAUAUCAGGCAUAAUCCUGCAGAGACUAUAGCUCUAGCCCUUCAGCAUCAUGAAGAGUUUGCUAAUGUGGAAUCCCUUCAGAUUUGUGCUCCUGUGGAAUCUGUUGAUCAUGCUGUGUUCUGGACCCCUCCUCCUCAACAUUGUAUUAAGCUGAAUUUUGAUGUUGCAGUUGACAGGUUUAGACAGAGAAGUUCUAUUGUUGUUAUUGCUAGAAAUUGGGAAGGCAAGCCUGUGGACUGGUGCUGUAAAGUUUUAUAUUCAGUUUGGGAUCCAUUAGUGCUUGAGGGUCUGGCUUGUAGAGAGGCUAUGCUACUAGGUAUUAGUAGGAAUUUUCAUUCGAUGAUGGUGGAAGGGGAUUCUUUAAUGAUCAUUGAAGCUGUUAGCAACAAUAUGGCUCCGUUAUCAAUUCAAAGCAUUAUUCAAGACAUUUGUCAGCUUGCUAAUAGGUUCAACUUGGUUUCCUUUUCCCAUGUAAAACGAUCAGGUAACCAGUUUGCAUAUGAUCUCAAAGCUCA
rnacentral:misc_RNA from 1 species